UUGGGGGUAGGGCUGAUCUGGAGGCAAGAGGAGCCCUUUCCCUGUGCAGGGUCUCCCAGACUGAGCCUGAGCCAGAGAGCUGGCGUGCUGCGCUAGGGGUAGCUUGCUUGGGGUGCUCUGCUGGGGAGGCCUUUCCUGGGGGUGCCCUCCUGGAGAUGUGUCGCUUGGGGGUGCCCUGCUGGGGCUUUCCUGCUGGGGUGUCCUGACUGUGUUCCUUCCUUAUGGGUAAUCACAUGCUUCCCCAGGGAGCUGUGUUUGAGGGGCUGAGGGCGUGUGAAAGCGCACAGUGGGCUGUGUUGGUCCAGGGCCUUCAAGAAGCAGUCAUGAAGUUGGGAAUAAUGCUGGAGACCGUCUGAGGGGAGCCGUUAGCCAUGCCAACCAAGCCAUUGGGAGAGCGUGAAGAUACGGACUCACUCAGAAGGAACCUUUCCCUGUAAAGCAAUGGACAGCUGUGGAACCGUGCUCACUGCCCACUGGCCCAUGCAGAGCGCUCACCCUGGCCCAGUGUGGAGGCUCGGGAGCCUGGAGCACAGCAACACAUUGGGAGAGGGCCUGCAGUCUGCUCCUGCUUCUCCCCGCUCUGGAAUCCAGCAUCUUACCCUUGGACAUGUGGCACUUGUCAGAUACUAAACGGACACAAACGCACGACCCUGGGUCUCAGUCAAAAGGCUGAUGGGAGGUGGGGAAUCUCACUGCUCUGCCCCAGACGUUCCUGUCCUUCCCCACGUUAGGUGCGAGUUAUUCUCAGGAUAAGCUCAGUGCGGGUCAUUCCAGAUUGAUCUUGAGGCCACAGGGCCCCCAACUGUGACCUCACUGUGCAGCACAGACUUCCUCCUUACCCUCCUGGUGACCCCAUCAUCUUUGCCACCUGGUGCUCCUUGAGGCAAGUGACUCAUACACAGAAACCUUCCCAGGACCAGGAGGGACCAGGCCAAAGUGUGAAAUAGAAACUAAUCCUAAAGUAGCAUGGCUGGGAGGCGGGCAGCCCGUCACCAGGAGAGGGGCAUGAAGCCUGGGAGAGGAAGGGAGAAAACGCCAGAAGAGUGGGCGGGCAGGGGGUGUGGGGAGGAGCUCUCUUGAGACUGAGCGUCCAGAGGGGCAGGAACCAGGUCCUAUACCUAGGGCCUGGCAGGCGGCUCGCAUGCAGUGAACUCUGAACGGACACUUGGCUGACGGUCUGGUUCACUUUGCAGAAACUCGAAUAGUGGCUGCAGACAAGAGUGAGGAUGGCGUGGGGACGAGAGGCGCUUCCUCCCCACUGGAUAACAGUAGCGGAGCUCUUUUACCCCAGGGUGGCAGCCCUGUGAGAAGCCCCAGCGGGACCAACGAGGAGCCUCCGCCUGAUCCUGGGUAGCUUGGGGAGGUAGCUCAGUAAGCUGAGCUUUUUGUCAGCGCUCGGGGCACCAUGGUCAGCUGUUUCCAGCUGUGGACACUGCAGAGGUCUCCCGUGUCCCGUCUGGCAGCUGCUGUUGUCACUUGGCUAUGGCUAGACCAGACCGAGUGGUACAUGUGGAGUAACUGCACUUGGAUUUCAAAGAUAACCCUGUGAGAAAAGAUGGCUCACUCAAAAUUUUAUGUUAUGGGUGUUGAAAUGAUAAUGAAUGAAAUAAUACUCUGCCGAAAUGAUAAUAUUUAAAUAGACUGGGUUAAAGAAUAUUAAAACUGACUUUACCUAUUUUUUAUGGUUAAUGUGGUCAGUAGAACAGUUUAAAUUAUAUUUAUAGUUUCCAUUCUAUCUCUGCUGGUCAGCACUGCCCUGCAUUGGGUCCACAUUUGUUUUCUCACAGGUCUGUUGUGGGGACAGGCAGUCUGCCUGUGUGGAGCAGUUUCUUUUCAGUCUGCCAUGCAAUUGCGUGACGAUGCUUAAUGAGGUCUCACAUGCUUGGUGAGGUUUCAGGGACUGCAGAAUCCUCAGGAAUCCUCCACUGAGAGCUGAGAGUCUUGUACCUCAGGACACAAGGGACCUCCAAGGGUCACCCACCAGGUAGUCAGUGAUGGGGAUUACUUUGGUCACACAGCGUGACCCAGAUGCCACCUAGAGGGGACUCAUUAUGAUUAUAUAUUGAUGGAGAGAACUCAGACCUUGAUGGUGAGGAAAGGCCUCUGCUGGGAGGAGGAGGCAGAGGGGAGGAAACAGGAAGUGAGCCGGUCAGUCAGAGAGUGGCUCCGGAGGUCGAGGGAUGAAGAGGACUUGAACCAGGAAGAGGAAAUCCCAGUGACCCAGUGAGCAGCUUCAACAGAGGUUGAAGUAAUUUGACGUAUUUACUUUAAAGGUAAUCCCUUCCAUGUUAGCCUAUAUUAUUUACAUGGUAGCUGUUGAGUCAUGCCUGAGUAAGUCAAUAGUCCCCUUCUCAGGGGCAUCGCCAUGUAGACAAAUAGAUUAUAAACAAAUGAAUAAACCAA